AUACGGAGGGUGCAAGCGUUAAUCGGAAUUACUGGGCGUAAAGCGCUCGUAGGCGGCUUGUUAAGUCGGAUGUGAAAGCCCCGGGCUCAACCUGGGAACUGCAUUCGAUACUGGCAGGCUAGAGUAUAGUAGAGGCAAGUGGAAUUCCGGGUGUAGCGGUGAAAUGCGUAGAUAUCCGGAGGAACAUCAGUGGCGAAGGCGACUUGCUGGACCAAUAUUGACGCUAAGGUGCGAAAGCGUGGGUAGCAAACGGAAUUAGAAACCCCAGUAGUCC
rnacentral:rRNA from 1 species